AGUCCCGCGUUCCUGUGAGGCCUCCGCGCCGCUCCGGAUGCCGCUCCUCUAGGCGCGAGGUCUUCCAGGGCCCUGCCCGGGCGCGCCGUUCGGGUCUAGGCGGGCCUCCUUCCCGGUGCUGACCCGGGCCUGUGCGAAGCGGGAUCUCUCGGGCGUCCCUCUCUUUGUCACCCCUUCCCCCGCCACGUGGAGGUGCCUCAGCCGCCUGAGCUCAGCCUGCCUGCGCCUGGAUUUUUAAGAAGGGGAAACCAAGGACAGAAGCCGCCCCCUAGGACGACGCGCCCGAGCCACCGGGAGGGUCUGAACGGCGGGGGCCUCCUGGAGCGCCUUCAGCGCCUCGUGUUUUCUUUCCUUGGGUCCCUGUUAGCGUCGCCGCAUGCACAGCGCUCCCUGUCAUUUGGUCCCUGAGCUUGGGUGUUUUUCACAUUUCAUCUAAAGAUGCAGACCCCUGCUAAGUCUAGCCAGCCUUCACCCUGAAUCUUGAACUUAAGAUGCUGCAUUUUCCACCCACCCCCACCCCUCUAGUAGCUGCAGAUUGACAAGCGGCUUUUCCCAACCAGAUGACAUUUUGGCUGCAAGAAUCCGUGGCCCGUUCUUGCCUCUGUGCAGCCAAGCUCCUUCGCUGUCUUUCUCAAACUGCAGUCCUGAGUUCAGCUUCGCUUAGCAGUGACCAUCCCAGAGGUGGGUAAUCCAACACUGGAUCCACUCACUGCAACCGGAGCUGGGGAUGGCAUGCCCUCUGCUUCCACUAACCGAGUGGCCUGCACCACAUUAAACUCUCCAGCUUUGAUUAUGUAAAAAUACAGAGAUCUUUUAUUUAUAGAGUUCCUACUGUUUCUCAGAGUAUUUAAACAUUUCUGCGGCAAGUAUGGAAGAAAAGACAAAUGAAAGCCCCAAAUUGUGACAAGAGGAGCAUUGUACUAGGAGCCCAAGGGCUACAAAGGUGAAUGAAUCACUCUCCUUACCCUGAGGAGCCAGAACUCUAGGAGAAAUGGAACCCGGUCCACAUCCCCUCUGCAGUUGGAUCCUAGGUCAUCCUGCCUUAACAACCAACCUGUGUUCUCUGUUUCUUCUGUAUCUAUUUCAGGAAGCCCCCAAUAAAUGUUAACCACUUUUCUGAUGACUUGGUGAAAGAGGAAGGCCAAGAUCAUAAUUUAGUCUUGGAAAAAACACUGCAGCUAACCUAGUCUUUGCAUUCAAAGUCAGAGACAGGUAAUUGAGUGUCUUUAUUUCGAGUCUGUACACCACAGCUGCCAGUUAGUUCAUAUCGCCAUUUCUCUAGGCGUCAUAAUUAAGCAAACAAUGAAACAGAAUCCCUGGCCCCAUGAAGACUUCACAGUUUUUACUUCAUCACUUCAAUGAGGUCUCGUAAAAUUCCCAUGAGGACAGGGUCUAGUAGAAUAUUGUCUCCACUUCCACCUUCCUGAUUCUUCUCUUGCUCCACUCUUCUCAAUCCAUUCUAUGCACUGAGGCCUAGAAGGAUCUGGCUUCAGCUUCCCUCUCCCACCCGGCUUGUGGCUCUUCCUCAACCCUGACCUCACCACCUUCUAGACCCACUGGCCUAUGCAUUGCUCCUCACACACGCACCAGCCUUAAGAUCCUCACUGGCUUCUUUUCAUCACUGAGGUCUUGCCCCUUCAAUGAGGGACUUCCCUGAUCCCUUCUUCUUAAGUAGCCCCGCCCAGUUACUCUCUAUCCUGUCAUCCAGCUAUAUUAUUCUAUGUAAAAGUAAAUAUGAUAUUUGCUCCAAUACCCUUAGCCUAACUGGAUUAUCUUGUUUAUUUGUUGGCUAUAAGUACAUAUAUCUAAAAUGGAAACAGGCCAGGCUCAGUGGCUUAUGCCUGUAAUCCAAGCAUUUUGGGAGGCUGAGGAGGGUGGACUGCUUGAGCUCAGGAGUUUGAGACCCGCCUGGCCAACAUGGUGAAACCCUGUCUCUACAAAAAGUACAAAAAUUAUCUGGGCAUGGUGCUGCAUGCUGGUAGUCCCAGCUACUCAGGAGGCUGAGAUGGGAGAAUCACUUGAACCCGGGAAGUGGACGCUGCAGUGAGCUGAGAUUGCAUCACUGCACUCCAGCCUGAGUGACAGAGCAAGACUCUGUCUCAAAAAAAAAAAAGGGAGAAAACACUUCUCAUUGCCCAUACUACUACCACCAUGGUUCAAGUCACAUCUCCUGAAAGGAUUUGGAUGUUCUAGCCAAAUCUCAUGUUGAAAUGUAAUCCCCGGUGUUGGAGGUGUGGCCUGGUGGGAGAUAAUUGGAUCAUGGGGGUAGCUUUCUCAUGAAUGGUUGAGCAUCAUCCCCUGGAUGCUGUCCUCGAGAUACUGAGUGAGUUCUCUUGGGAUGUGGUGGUUUAAAAGUGUGUAGCACCUCCCCCUCUCCCUCUUGCUCCUGAUUUUGCCUUGUGAAGUUCCUGCUCCCAUUCUGCCUUCCACCAUGAUUGGAAGCUUCCUGAGGCCUCCCCAGAAGCAGAUGCCAGCCUUAUGGUUCCUAUACAGCCUGGA
rnacentral:lncRNA from 1 species